CGCUAAGAAGCUAAACAGGGUGUAGCGUUAGCCUUUUAAGUAAAGAUUGGUGGUCCCCAACCACCCCUAGCGA